GUAACACGUAAACAACCUGCCUUCAGGAUGGGGACAACAGACGGAAACGACUGCUAAUACCGAAUAAGUUCCAAGAGCCGCAUGGCCCAUGGAAGAAAAGGUGGCCUCUACCUGUAAGCUAUCGCCUGAAGAGGGGUUUGCGUCUGAUUAGCUGGUUGGAGGGGGUAACGGCCCACCAAGGCGACGAUCAGUAGCCGGUCUGAGAGGAUGAACGGCCACACUGGGACUGAGACACGGUCCAGACUCCUACGGGAGGCAGCAUG
rnacentral:rRNA from 1 species